rnacentral:rRNA from 1 species
UUUUGUCGUAAGGUGGAUUUUCCCGACGGGUGAGUACACGUGUGUACCUGCCCCUGACUCUGGGAUAAGCCCGGGAAACUGGGUCUAAUACCGGAUAUGACUUUUGACCGCAUGGUUGAGGGUGGAAAGAUUUAUCGGUUGGGGAUGGACUCGCGGCCUAUCAGCUUGUUGGUGAGGUAAUGGCUCACCAAGGCGACGACGGGUAGCCGGCCUGAGAGGGUGACCGGCCACACUGGGACUGAGACACGGCCCAGACUCCUACGGGAGGCAGCAGUGGGGAAUAUUGCACAAUGGGCGCAAGCCUGAUGCAGCGACGCCGCGUGAGGGAUGACGGCCUUCGGGUUGUAAACCUCUUUCAGUAGGGAAGAAGCGAAAGUGACGGUACCUGCAGAAGAAGCGCCGGCUAACUACGUGCCAGCAGCCGCGGUAAUACGUAGGGC